UAAGCACUGGCGCACUAUUGGUCAAACAAAAAACACAAAAACCCACACUCCCUGGAUAUAAGCAACUGCAAAAGAUCAUAUAAUCCAUUAAACACUGAUGAAAAAAGCCCUAUCACAUUACCUUGCCCCAUGCAUUUAAAUCACAAGCCCAAAAUGCAAGGUUCAGUCUGUAAGCUCACCUAGUACAGAGAAUGAGGCGAUAUUCAUCAUAGAUCCGAAGCUGACUUGUUUAUGACUACCCUCUUUUCAUCAUUCAGAUGUUUCCGCGCAAACAGACACAACCAAGGUACAAACACGUGCUGAGAAAGAUCCAUUAGUAGGUUCCUCAUCAUCCAUUGUUGAGUCUCUGCAAAAACAAAAAGAACAACAACGACAACAUAUUAUAUCGCUUUGUUACGAACCUAUGCAACAACAACAGCGGAACGAAACACACUAUAUAUAAAAAUAUGGAAUGAUUUGAAAAUGAA
rnacentral:lncRNA from 1 species